rnacentral:rRNA from 1 species
GACUCUCGGCAACGGAUAUCUCGGCUCUUGCAUCGAUGAAGAACGUAGCGAAAUGCGAUACUUGGUGUGAAUUGCAGAAUCCCGUGAACCAUCGAGUCUUUGAACGCAAGUUGCGCCCGAAGCCUUCGGGCCGAGGGCACGUCUGCCUGGGUGUCACGCA